rnacentral:rRNA from 1 species
AGGCCCUACGGGGGGCAGCAGUGGGGAAUAUUGCACAAUGGGCGAAAGCCUGAUGCAGCAACGCCGCGUGAAGGAAGAAGGCCUUCGGGUCGUAAACUUCUGUCCUUGGGGAAGAAGAACUGACGGUACCCAAGGAGGAAGCCCCGGCUAACUACGUGCCAGCAGCCGCGGUAAUACGUAGGAUGCGAGCGUUAUCCGGAUUUAUUGGGUUUAAAGGGUGCGCAGGCGGCCUGUUAAGUCAGCGGUAAAAGCCCGGGGCUCAACCCCGGCGAGCCGUUGAAACUGGCGGGCUGGAGUUGGAGAGG